CAGGUGGCUACCUGGUAAUUAUUGCAAUUUUCCAGCACAUUCAGGUUGAGUAGGGAGGCAGGUUCACCUGGUGAAUUGAUUCCAGGGCACAGUGAUCGGGCAUAAAGUCAAUGGGCAGCAGGUGAGGUUGCUGCUGUGACCUUCCAGUCGACUCUCCUCUGAAGAGAACAGAGCUGCCCCUCAUCUUUCAGCCCAGCUCUCCUGUUUUCUCAGCACCUCAGCGGAACAAGAAAGACAGAGCCUGCCAGAACCAAGUCGACCUUCCCUACUCAGCAGAGACCAGACCUGCCCCUCGUCUCCCAGCCCUGUGUCUGGUGUGUUUUCUCAGCACAUCAGUGAACCAAGAAAGGACUGAGCCUGCGAGAACUAAGGACACUGGGCUGCACUCUAAGAAAUUCCUGGAUCUCCCCUGGAUCCUGACCAUCAUGUGCCCAGAGAAAUUGUCGGCCGUCCCUACUCAGCAGAGACCAGACCUGCCCCUUGUCUCCCAGCCCUGCGCCUGGUGUGUUUUCUCAAUACCUCAGUGGAACGAGAAAGGACCGAGCCUGCCAGAACCAAGGGGGUUACAGGAACCCACUCAUUUCCACCUUAGAAGCCCAACCAGCAGAAACCUGGGGUCCUAACCAAGGGUCGUUGGACGCCAGGUCCUGGGUCUGGGGAGGUGGUGUCACCUUGGAGAGAGUGGAAGUGUGCCCCACGUGCAGAGUCUGGGGAUUGUGUGGGUCUCACCCCAUCCACACGGGUUACAUAUCUACUCUUUACCUGCAGUGUGUCUGUCAGGGAUUCCCAACAUCUGAAUUGAGGGUGUUGCCCUGAUUAACCUGUGGUCCUUUUCCUUCUCUUCGCUUUGUCAUGUUCACAUGAGGUCAGGCACCUUUGAGUGGGUUGCUGCUCUGUGUUCUGAGUGUAAACCUUUGGUGGUGUCAUAUUAAUAUCAUAGCAUAUCCCAUAUCUAAUUCAUAGAGAUACCACUGUCUGGUUUCCCCUCCACCAAGCUC
rnacentral:lncRNA from 1 species